rnacentral:lncRNA from 1 species
AUGGCGCGGAACGUGCCGGCGCUGCCCCCUACAGCGGUGGUGACGGGGGAGAUCACCGGCGUCGACAUCAUUGGGGGCAGGCCCGACUGUGUUCAUACAAGGGGAGGGGGAUUUGGAUCCGACGACAACGGAGACAAGGAGGUGCAAGGGCGGAGGGGCGGCGAGCUCGAUGGCGGGAAGAAGCAAGGGCAUGGAUCCGGUGCUGCUCGUCACUCCGCCCUUCGUUGCCCGUUGCUCCGGCGCAAAGAGGGACCUAACAGGGGAUGGUCGGCGGGGAGGCGCAAGGGCACAAUGGGGAGACGCGUUUGGCUGUGCCCCUGCAGUUGUCGGCAAGAGGGAUGCUGAGCUCCGCCGG